CCUACGGGUGGCAGCAGUGGGGAAUAUUGCACAAGGGGGGAAACCCUGAUGCAGCAACGCCGCGGGAAGGAAGACGGUGGUCGGAUGGUAAACUUCGGUGAGUAGUGAAGAAGAAUGACGGUAGCGAAGGAGCAAGCCACGGCUAACUACGUGCCAGCAGCCGCGGGAAUAAGUAGGUGGCAAGCGUUGUCCGGAAUGACUGGGUGUAAAGGGAGCGCAGGCGGGAAGCCAGGUCAGCUGUGAAAACUACGGGCUUAACUUGUAGACGGCAGUUGCAACUGGUUUUCUUGAGUGAAGUAGGGGUUGGCGGAAUUCCGCGUGUAGCGGUGAAAUGCGUCGCUAUUCG
rnacentral:rRNA from 1 species